rnacentral:lncRNA from 12 species
GAGGCUUCAGGAAGAUAUGGCGACGCAUUCACUCUGGCAGGAGCUCCCGGGUGCCUCAGGACAUAAGUUGAGGCUUCUGGAAGCUCAACUGAGGGGCCGCAUUCAUGGUUACAGGAGCCCCAGCCUCCUCGAACCCUCGGCUACGCUUCAGGAGGACUUGGGGCCACAUGGACACAACAGGACGCUGACUUCCUCAGGACCCCUGGUGUAGACUUGGGGAAAUAUGUGGAUGCGUCCAUGUGGACAGAAGACCCCAGCUUUGUCAGGGCCUGUGGUGAGGCCUAAGAAAACUGUGGGUGCCGCACCCACAGUGACGGGAGUCUCCAGCCUCCUCAGGACCCACUGUGAAGUUUUGGGAAGAUUUGAGGCCACGUCCAUGCUGACAGGAGCCCCCAGCCUCCUCAGGUCUUAUGGUGAGGCUUGAGGAAAAUGUUGGACCACGUCAAUGCUGACAGGAACCCUGUCUUCUUCAGGACCUGCACUUUGGCUUCGGGACAUAAGGGGCUGUGUGUAUGCUGACAGGAGCCCACAGCCUCCUCAGGACCUGCGGUGAGUUUUCUGGGGGACGUGGGGCCAUGUCCAGGGUGACAGGAGCCCCCGGCCUCCUGAGGACCUGCUGUGAGGCUUCCAGAGAAUGUGAGGCAUAGUUCACAGUGAAAGGAGACCCAGCGUCCUCAGGACCCGCUGACUAUGACUCAGGAACACGUGGGGCCACGUCCACACUCACAGGAGCCCGGCUUCCUCAGGACCCCUUGGAGGAAUCUGGAGGAGCCAUUGGGGGCCACGUCCAUAUCAGAAGGGACUCCUCAGAACCACAGUCUCAGUCACUCAUCAGGAAAUGCAUCUUUAUGGAUUGAUUUGGAAAGAACUGAGAGACAUUAUUACCAAUGGUCCUAUUAUUAUGUGAAGGAUUCUUCCCUGAGAUUCUUCCCCUGUUUCAACUGACACUGAAACACUGUGAACUCUUUGGAAGACAAAUGUCAAGGAAAUAAAUGUUAUGCAUUACUAAUUUUAAAUGCA